rnacentral:rRNA from 1 species
GAUCAUGGCUCAGGACGAACGCUGGCGGCGUGCCUAACACAUGCAAGUCGAGCGAGUAAAUCUCCUUCGGGAGUGAAGCUAGCGGCGGACGGGUGAGUAACACGUGGGCAACCUGCCUCAUAGAGGGGAAUAGCCUUCCGAAAGGAAGAUUAAUACCGCAUAAGAUUGUAGCUUCGCAUGAAGUAGCAAUUAAAGGAGCAAUCCGCUAUGAGAUGGGCCCGCGGCGCAUUAGCUAGUUGGUGAGGUAACGGCUCACCAAGGCGACGAUGCGUAGCCGACCUGAGAGGGUGAUCGGCCACAUUGGGACUGAGACACGGCCCAGACUCCUACGGGAGGCAGCAGUGGGGAAUAUUGCACAAUGGGGAAACCCUGAUGCAGCAACGCCGCGUGAGUGAUGACGGCCUUCGGGUUGUAAAGCUCUGUCUUCAGGGACGAUAAUGACGGUACCUGAGGAGGAAGCCACGGCUAACUACGUG